rnacentral:rRNA from 1 species
CCUACGGGUGGCAGCAGUGGGGAAUAUUGCACAAUGGGGGAAACCCUGAUGCAGCGACGCCGCGUGAGUGAAGAAGUAAUUCGUUACGUAAAGCUCUAUCAGCAGGGAAGAAAAUGACGGUACCUGAGUAAGAAGCCCCGGCUAACUACGUGCCAGCAGCCGCGGUAAUACGUAGGAGGCAAGCGUUAUCCGGAAUGACUGGGCGUAAAGGGUGCGUAGGUGGUUUGGCAAGUUGGUAGAGUAAUCCCGGGGCUCAACCUCGGUGCUACUACCAAAACUGUUGAACUUGAGUGCAGGAGGGGUGAAUGGAAUGCCCAGUGUAGCGGUGGAAUGCGUAGAUAUUGGGAAGAACACCAGCGGCGAAGGCGAUUCACUGGACUGUAACUGACACUGAGGCACGAAAGCGUGGGGAGCAAACAGGAUUAGAUACCCUUGUAGUC